rnacentral:lncRNA from 1 species
GCCAUCAAUGGAAAAACAAGUUUGUGCGAAGCACUAUUUUUCGUCAGGUCUGGACACUGCAACGUCAUUUCAAUGGAAGUUUAUCUCUGAUCAGAGUUUGAAUGAGGUUAAGGACAAUAAAGAAAGUAAAUUUUCUAAGACUAUGUAUGAUGAUUAUGAUACUAACUAACCUCUUGUUGGUCUUGAAGUCUCUCUUUCCCAAAUACAAUCCAAGCUGUGAAAACCACAGCAAGUGGUACUUGAACUGAUGACAGAAUCCAGUAUUCUAAUCCACAUGGCUCCAUUGGAAUGAUGCUCUGAACAGUUUGAACAAUUGCAAGCAGUCAGGGAUUAACAACAUAAUGGAGUCAAAGUUAGAAGAAAAACAACUACUCUAAAAGUUUGGUAAAUCUAUCUCAAAAACAUAAUAAUAGAUUUUUUUUAAAAUAUUUUUAUACUGUCAUCCAAUUAGGUGCUGUUACAUAAAAUUCAAGCAGCCUAAUGAUAACCUUACCUGUCCAUAUUUGUUGCCGCGAAGAAGAUAGACAGAAAAGAAGGAGAACCAGACCAAAAACAAGACCCCCAAUUUCAACCAAG